UUAAGCGACUAAGCGUACACGGUGGAUGCCCUGGCAGUCAGAGGCGAUGAAGGACGUGCUAAUCUGCGAUAAGCGUCGGUAAGGUGAUAUGAACCGUUAUAACCGGCGAUUUCCGAAUGGGGAAACCCAGUGUGAUUCGUCACACUAUCAUUAACUGAAUCCAUAGGUUAAUGAGGCGAACCGGGGGAACUGAAACAUCUAAGUACCCCGAGGAAAAGAAAUCAACCGAGAUUCCCCCAGUAGCGGCGAGCGAACGGGGAGCAGCCCAGAGCCUGAAUCAGUGUGUGUGUUAGUGGAAGCGUCUGGAAAGGCGUGCGAUACAGGGUGACAGCCCCGUACACAAAAAUGCACAUGCUGUGAGCUCGAUGAGUAGGGCGGGACACGUGGUAUCCUGUCUGAAUAUGGGGGGACCAUCCUCCAAGGCUAAAUACUCCUGACUGACCGAUAGUGAACCAGUACCGUGAGGGAAAGGCGAAAAGAACCCCGGCGAGGGGAGUGAAAAAGAACCUGAAACCGUGUACGUACAAGCAGUGGGAGCACAGAGCAAUCUGUGUGACUGCGUACCUUUUGUAUAAUGGGUCAGCGACUUAUAUUCUGUAGCAAGGUUAACCGAAUAGGGGAGCCGAAGGGAAACCGAGUCUUAACUGGGCGUUAAGUUGCAGGGUAUAGACCCGAAACCCGGUGAUCUAGCCAUGGGCAGGUUGAAGGUUGGGUAACACUAACUGGAGGACCGAACCGACUAAUGUUGAAAAAUUAGCGGAUGACUUGUGGCUGGGGGUGAAAGGCCAAUCAAACCGGGAGAUAGCUGGUUCUCCCCGAAAGCUAUUUAGGUAGCGCCUCGUGAAUUCAUCUCCGGGGGUAGAGCACUGUUUCGGCAAGGGGGUCAUCCCGACUUACCAACCCGAUGCAAACUGCGAAUACCGGAGAAUGUUAUCACGGGAGACACACGGCGGGUGCUAACGUCCGUCGUGAAGAGGGAAACAACCCAGACCGCCAGCUAAGGUCCCAAAGUCAUGGUUAAGUGGGAAACGAUGUGGGAAGGCCCAGACAGCCAGGAUGUUGGCUUAGAAGCAGCCAUCAUUUAAAGAAAGCGUAAUAGCUCACUGGUCGAGUCGGCCUGCGCGGAAGAUGUAACGGGGCUAAACCAUGCACCGAAGCUGCGGCAGCGACGCUUAUGCGUUGUUGGGUAGGGGAGCGUUCUGUAAGCCUGCGAAGGUGUGCUGUGAGGCAUGCUGGAGGUAUCAGAAGUGCGAAUGCUGACAUAAGUAACGAUAAAGCGGGUGAAAAGCCCGCUCGCCGGAAGACCAAGGGUUCCUGUCCAACGUUAAUCGGGGCAGGGUGAGUCGACCCCUAAGGCGAGGCCGAAAGGCGUAGUCGAUGGGAAACAGGUUAAUAUUCCUGUACUUGGUGUUACUGCGAAGGGGGGACGGAGAAGGCUAUGUUGGCCGGGCGACGGUUGUCCCGGUUUAAGCGUGUAGGCUGGUUUUCCAGGCAAAUCCGGAAAACUAAGGCUGAGGCGUGAUGACGAGGCACUACGGUGCUGAAGCAACAAAUGCCCUGCUUCCAGGAAAAGCCUCUAAGCAUCAGGUAACAUCAAAUCGUACCCCAAACCGACACAGGUGGUCAGGUAGAGAAUACCAAGGCGCUUGAGAGAACUCGGGUGAAGGAACUAGGCAAAAUGGUGCCGUAACUUCGGGAGAAGGCACGCUGAUAUGUAGGUGAAGCGACUUGCUCGUGGAGCUGAAAUCAGUCGAAGAUACCAGCUGGCUGCAACUGUUUAUUAAAAACACAGCACUGUGCAAACACGAAAGUGGACGUAUACGGUGUGACGCCUGCCCGGUGCCGGAAGGUUAAUUGAUGGGGUUAGCGCAAGCGAAGCUCUUGAUCGAAGCCCCGGUAAACGGCGGCCGUAACUAUAACGGUCCUAAGGUAGCGAAAUUCCUUGUCGGGUAAGUUCCGACCUGCACGAAUGGCGUAAUGAUGGCCAGGCUGUCUCCACCCGAGACUCAGUGAAAUUGAACUCGCUGUGAAGAUGCAGUGUACCCGCGGCAAGACGGAAAGACCCCGUGAACCUUUACUAUAGCUUGACACUGAACAUUGAGCCUUGAUGUGUAGGAUAGGUGGGAGGCUUUGAAGUGUGGACGCCAGUCUGCAUGGAGCCGACCUUGAAAUACCACCCUUUAAUGUUUGAUGUUCUAACGUUGACCCGUAAUCCGGGUUGCGGACAGUGUCUGGUGGGUAGUUUGACUGGGGCGGUCUCCUCCUAAAGAGUAACGGAGGAGCACGAAGGUUGGCUAAUCCUGGUCGGACAUCAGGAGGUUAGUGCAAUGGCAUAAGCCAGCUUGACUGCGAGCGUGACGGCGCGAGCAGGUGCGAAAGCAGGUCAUAGUGAUCCGGUGGUUCUGAAUGGAAGGGCCAUCGCUCAACGGAUAAAAGGUACUCCGGGGAUAACAGGCUGAUACCGCCCAAGAGUUCAUAUCGACGGCGGUGUUUGGCACCUCGAUGUCGGCUCAUC
rnacentral:rRNA from 1 species